rnacentral:snoRNA from 2 species
GAACUCUCAGGAUUUCAUCUGGAGAGUUUCCAGUACUCUACCAGUCUCAACUACGGAAGGGAGAGUCAAGCAGAGACCUACCCAUUUCAUUCCUAGUUUGGGCAGUGACUAGUGAGUGGAAGGCAAUAUGUUACAAGU